UGGGGAAUAUUGCACAAUGGGCGCAAGCCUGAUGCAGCCAUGCCGCGUGUAUGAAGAAGGCCUUCGGGUUGUAAAGUACUUUCAGCGGGGAGGAAGGGAGUAAAGUUAAUACCUUUGCUCAUUGACGUUACCCGCAGAAGAAGCACCGGCUAACUCCGUGCCAGCAGCCGCGGUAAUACGGAGGGCGCAAGCGUUAAUCGGAAUUACUGGGCGUAAAGCGCACGCAGGCGGUUUGUUAAGUCAGAUGUGAAAUCCCCGGGCUCAACCUGGGAACUGCAUCUGAUACUGGCAAGCUUGAGUCUCGUAGAGGGGGGUAGAAUUCCAGGUGUAGCGGUGAAAUGCGUAGAGAUCUGGAGGAAUACCGGUGGCGAAGGCGGCCCCCUGGACGAAGACUGACGCUCAGGUGCGAAAGCGUGGGGAGCAAACA
rnacentral:rRNA from 1 species